rnacentral:rRNA from 1 species
CCUACGGGUGGCAGCAGUGGGGAAUUUUGGACAAUGGGGGCAACCCUGAUCCAGCCAUGCCGCGUGAGUGAAGAAGGCCUUCGGGUUGUAAAGCUCUUUCGGACGGAACGAAAUGGUUCGGGCCAACACCCCGGAUCGAUGACGGUACCGUAAGAAGAAGCACCGGCUAACUACGUGCCAGCAGCCGCGGUAAUACGUAGGGUGCGAGCGUUAAUCGGAAUUACUGGGCGUAAAGCGUGCGCAGGCGGCUUUUUAAGACAGGUGUGAAAUCCCCGAGCUUAACUUGGGAAUGGCGCUUGUGACUGGGAAGCUGGAGUGCGGAAGAGGGAGAUGGAAUUCCUGGUGUAGCAGUGAAAUGCGUAGAGAUCAGGAGGAACACCGAUGGCGAAGGCAGUCUCCUGGGCCAGCACUGACGCUCAUGCACGAAAGCGUGGGGAGCA